rnacentral:rRNA from 1 species
CCCGGGGGGCAGCAGUGGGGGAUAUUGCACAAUGGGGGGAACCCUGAUGCAGCGACGCCGCGUGGGUGAAGGAGCGUUUCGGCGCGUAAAGCCCUAUCGGCAGGGAAGAAGAUGACGGUACCUGACCAAGAAGCCCCGGCUAACUACGUGCCAGCAGCCGCGGUAAUACGUAGGGGGCAAGCGUUAUCCGGAUUUACUGGGUGUAAAGGGCGCGUAGGCGGGAAUAUAAGUCAGAUGUGAAAGGUGGGGGCUCAACCCCUAGAGUGCAACUGAUACUGGAUAACUUGAGUGUGAGAGAGGGAAGG